rnacentral:rRNA from 1 species
UACGUAGGGUGCAGGCGUUAAUCGGAAUUACUGGGCGUAAAGCGUGCGCAGGCGGCCUCUUAAGUCAGAUGUGAAAUCCCCGGGCUUAACCUGGGAACUGCGUUUGAAACUGGGAGGCUUGAGCGUGGAAGAGGGGGGUGGAAUUCCAGGUGUAGCAGUGAAAUGCGUAGAGAUCUGGAGGAACACCGAUGGCGAAGGCAGCCCCCUGGGCUAACACUGACGCUCAUGCACGAAAGCGUGGGGAGCAAACAGG